rnacentral:rRNA from 1 species
GAUGAACGCUGGCGGCGUGCCUAAUACAUGCAAGUCGAGCGAACGGACGAGAAGCUUGCUUCUCUGAUGUUAGCGGCGGACGGGUGAGUAACACGUGGAUAACCUACCUAUAAGACUGGGAUAACUUCGGGAAACCGGAGCUAAUACCGGAUAAUAUUUUGAACCGCAUGGUUCAAAAGUGAAAGACGGUCUUGCUGUCACUUAUAGAUGGAUCCGCGCUGCAUUAGCUAGUUGGUAAGGUAACGGCUUACCAAGGCAACGAUGCAUAGCCGACCUGAGAGGGUGAUCGGCCACACUGGAACUGAGACACGGUCCAGGCUCCUACGGGAGGCAGCAGUAGGGAAUCUUCCGCAAUGGGCGAAAGCCUGACGGAGCAACGCCGCGUGAGUGAUGAAGGUCUUCGGAUCGUAAAACUCUGUUAUUAGGGAAGAACAAAUGUGUAAGUAACUGUGCACAUCUUGACGGUACCUAAUCAGAAAGCCACGGCUAACUACGUG